rnacentral:rRNA from 1 species
UACAGAGGUCUCAAGCGUUGUUCGGAUUCAUUGGGCGUAAAGGGUGCGUAGGCGGCGCGGUAAGUCGGGGGUGAAAUCUCGGAGCUUAACUCCGAAACUGCAUUCGAUACUGCCGUGCUUGAGGACUGGAGAGGAGACUGGAAUUUACGGUGUAGCGGUGAAAUGCGUAGAUAUCGUAAGGAAGACCAGUGGCGAAGGCGGGUCUCUGGGCCGAUACUGACGCUGAGGAGCGAAAGCGUGGGGAGCGAACAGG